rnacentral:misc_RNA from 1 species
CAUCUGAAUUCAAAUUAAUUGGUUUCUAACAAAAAGCUUGACUAGAAGAAUUCCAAUACUUAUGUUCAAACUAAAAUACGAGCUGCAUUGCUGUAAUGCAAACAGAAAAUAGACACAGCCAAUUUUCAAUCCAAAACUUCUAAUAGUUCCCGUGAAGCAGGCUUGAAACUAUUUAUUGAUGUGUAACAUAAUUAUCAUUGGAAAUGCGUAAAUAGCAUAAAAAAUGUAGUUAAGCUCAAUUCAUUCUUGGUCAACAAACAUCACCUGUGCAAUUAAAUAUCCACCAAAUAAACUUGACUGAAGUUUCAAAUGUUGAGUGAACCAA